rnacentral:rRNA from 1 species
AAUCAACGCUGGCGGCGUGCCUCAGACAUGCAAGUCGAACGCGAAAGUCCCCUUCGGGGGACAAGUAGAGUGGCGCACGGGUGAGUAACACGUAGGUAAUCUACCUUCGGGUGGGGAAUAACAACCGGAAACGGUUGCUAAUACCGCAUAAUGCAGCGGCACCUAAUGGUGACAGUUGUUAAAGCGGGGGAUCGAAAGACCUCGCGCCUGAAGAGGAGCCUGCGGCGGAUUAGCUAGUUGGUAGGGUAAUGGCCUACCAAGGCGACGAUCCGUAGCCGGCCUGAGAGGGCGGUCGGCCACACUGACACUGACAUACGGGUCAGACUCCUACGGGAGGCAGCAGUCGGGAAUUUUGGGCAAUGGGCGAAAGCCUAACCCAGCAACGCCGCGUGAAGGAUGAAAUCCCUCGGGAUGUAAACUUCGCAAGAACGGGAAGAAUAAGCCUGUGUGAAUAUCGCAGGUGAUGACGGUACCGUUUGUAAGCUCCGGCUAACUCCGUGC